UACAGAGGGUGCGAGCGUUGUCCGGAAUCACUGGGCGUAAAGGGCGCGUAGGCGGCUUGAUAAGCGUGCGGUGAAAGCCCGGGGCUCAACCCCGGGUCGGCCGUGCGAACUGUCGAGCUGGAGCACUGUAGAGGCAGGUGGAAUUCCGGGUGUAGCGGUGGAAUGCGUAGAGAUCCGGAAGAACACCGGUGGCGAAGGCGGCCUGCUGGGCAGUGGCUGACGCUGAGGCGCGACAGCGCGGGGAGCAAACAGG
rnacentral:rRNA from 1 species